rnacentral:rRNA from 1 species
UGCAGUGAGUGGUGAACGGGUGAGUAACGCGUAGGAACCCGCCUCGACGUGGGGGAUAACACUUGGAAACAGGUGCUAAUACCGCAUGUGGUCGGAAGAAGAAAGGCGAAAGCCGCGUUGAGAGGGGCCUGCGUCCGAUUAGCUAGUUGGUGGGGUAAGGGCCUACCAAGGCGACGAUCGGUAGCUGGUCUGAGAGGAUGGUCAGCCACACUGGGACUGAGACACGGACCAG